GGGGAUUUAGCUCAGUGGCAUAAGCACCUGCCUUGCAAGCAGGCGGUCGUGACUUAAAUCCCUG
rnacentral:tRNA from 1 species